GUGACCCUCAGUUUUGAAUAACACAAGGUUAAAUACACUAAAAAUAUUCAUAACAUUGGAUCAAUAGCAUACCUUAGAUUAUGCUGAACAUGGAGGUGUAUGAGUUGCUUUACUGAUUUUAAUACUCUAUUUGCAUUUGGGUUUUUUUGUGUUUCUGACUCAGAGUAAAGGGAUUAAGUUUUUGAGGAGUUUUUGAGUAUAGCUCUUUUUUUGAUGCAGUCAUAUAAGGACCCACCUCAAUGUCAGUUCUGCUUUAUUUCACUUUUUUAUUAUCACCAUUUCAUUAAGAACCUUUUCCAUAAAAUUCACUCAGCUCCUGGGUAUAUGCUAAAAAGACCAAUUUACUUGGAGACUGAGUCCUCUGUUGUUUCAAAACAGGAGUAGAUCCUUCAACACAAUAAUAGAAAGUAUUUUGAAAUGCAUUUCAAUAUCUCUUCUUGCCAGUGUCUUUAGCUUAUUAUAAUUCCAAGCAUGCUUUUCUGAAGCAGUCACAAAACUCCACAAUACUGAAGUUGAUUGUAUAAAAAUUCUAGCAUUUCAGUCGUAAAUGUCUAAUAAGUGUUUUUGAAUUCACUAUUGACUCUUAUGCUUCCACAGCUUAGCCAGUAAAGGAACAUUCAGAAUCAUCUGGUAACUUUGGACAGAGUCCUACUCCUGGUUACUAUUGUAGUUACUAACUUUGCAAAAAAUUAUGUGCCCUCAAGAUUGGAAGCUGAAUUCCAUACAAUAUCCUUACAAAAAAUAUGAGCUACACAACUGCAAUAGGAUUUCUAGGUGUGGUCUGAGUAAAGCAGCAGAUAAAAUAAAUAUGUGAAAUAUGGGAAAAGAACUAUGUGAAUUUUUACCCAGCUGAUCAAAUCUUGUAUUACAUGAAGUCCUACUUUCAUAGCCCACAAGGAAUCCUGAGAAGACACUACAAAUGUGAGUCUGGAUGUAGUGAACCCAAUGAAACAGUUAUGAAAUCCUAAUAAUGUCAGCUGAAUUAAACUUUCUACAUUGUCCUAUAUUUCUGUGAAUAAAAAAAAAUAUUCAGUCAGAGUUACAGAUCCUAUAGAGAAGGUAAAUGGUGUUUUAAGAGAAGGAAUGAGGCCUCAGCACUUUGAAAGGCAAAGUCUACGGCAAUUUGGGCUUGAAUGGGACUUGAACCCCACCUGAGGAAUUUAAAAUAUUUUAUGAGAACUGAGAACAUUUAACAUCCAUAUCCAAUCACUUCACUGUGUGUUUGAAAUUUCCACCCCAAAUAUAUUUAGAAGCUCAGUUUUUACCAUAUUUCUUCCACACAGUAAUCUCUCACCUGUUACAAAUUAAUUAGGAUAGUUGAAACUGCAGACUGAGUCAUGAUCCAAUCUCUAUCUUUGCUUAGUGUGUAAUAAUCAGAACAAAGGUAGCAUUCAUGUUGUCUCUCUGUAGUAGUCUCCUCCUUUGCAUCUUUUAAAGCACCUUGGUUAAGCAUUUUUUUCUUCCCUAGUAUUUCAUAGCCCUGUAAGUUGAUGCCAGUUGCUCUACAAAUUGUUGUCUUGCAGCUUGAACCAAAGAAAUCCUCUUCUCAUACCCUGAACCAUGAUUCUCAAUUUCUUGCUUAUGUAUUUUGUCCUUUAAAAUUCGUUCUCUGCAGUUUUCCACCCACAUGCUCUCCUGCGUUCUCACCCCGUCUUCACAUUCUUGCCCGUGACGUGUUUGUUUUUCAAGCCCACUCCAGGUAACUGAACCCCCUCACUGACACAACUGUGGCUGUGGCACACAGCCAUCCCAUUCCUGGCAGGCUGGGAGCAUACAGCCUGGCAGCUGUGCCAUGGGCAGGAGGGCUCCCAAACCAGGCUGCAAGUUCAGGGCUGCAUCACAUGUUGAGCUCAGUCUGCUCACAUAAAGUCCUGGGCAAAAUUUCUGUUCCUUGAAGUCAGGCUGAGUAGAAAAAUGAGCCAUUUUGUGAAGAAUAAAGAGUGCAGGGGAAGGCUUAAACCCAGCAAUUUUUCCUGGGUUAAAACCACGGGCAGUCUGAAAGGUGAAGAGCAGCCCCAUUUUAACAAGGUAAGAGCUAUCAGUACAAUUCAAGCCUGAGGAGUGGAGCUCCAGGCUGAGCUCUGCUUCACCCCCCAGAGCACGUCUGCUCUUUGCUGUACAGUGGGGGAAGCCUGUCUUGAAUGAUGGUAAUGAACAGAGUAACUUCCAGGCAAGGCUUCACAUCAAUCUUUAAAAAGAUCAGUUUGCUGCUGUUCUUACAUCUGUCUGUGAUGAGUAUAAGGUUAUCUCUCUUCUCACACGGAGUGUACCAACCUCAUCAGUAACAGAGGGCCACCGUAACCAACCAGGACAUGCUGGCAUCUUGAUUAACUUACAGUGUCCACUUGCAGGAAUCACAGAUUGCUUCUGCAAAGUUUACCAAGAAGGUAUGUAAAUGUGAAGACAAGCAGUGGCAGUGGCAGUGGCAGUGGAUAGGGAAGUAUGUCCCUUUCCUUGUUUCUUUAAAGUCAGCUUGGGUUUAUUCAGUGGUUGGGAAGUGAUCUGUGCUGACCCUGCUUAUUCCCUAUGUGUAAAGCUUUCUUUUAUAUCUCUUCUAAACCCUGUGAAUCUUUAAUUAUGAUAAUCUAGUUUAUUUACACUAGACACAGUGUCAUUCAGGCAUUAAUUUUUAAUCAGCACUCCAGAUGAAUGGGCAAUGGGGACUAUUAACAUCUUGUUUGCAUGCUGCUGAAAAAGGGCCCAAAUUACCAAUAUUCAGAUAGAAUGGUAAGAUUUGGCAACAGAUCUAUGGAACUGAGUUUAAAGUAUUUUGUUAUUGUUUGUGUUUGAUUUUCUAGGACAGUCAUGGAACUCUGGGGCGGCCUUUCUUCCUUUUCAGGCCUCGAAAUGGAAGAACUAUUGAAGGCAGUGAAUACCAUGGGAUGUGAAGUUCAUGGAUUCAUUUACCAGCUUGGUGACUUGGUUUACAAAAAGAAAAGAGACUUCCCAUUGCACUGGUUGUCUA